AAAUUUAUAAUGAGGGAGGGUUAAAUCAACUCUAAAAAGUAUCGUCUUGAAAAUUUUAUUUUCAAUAUAUAAGAUAUAUCCCUGUAGUUAAAACUUAAAAAAAGCAAUAUAGAUUAAUUCUAAAAGAAUAACUUUACUCAUAAAGUGAAAAAUGAGAUUAAUUUUACUUCCUGAAGUAAAUCAUUUUAUUAAGGAAAGGAAAGGAAAUCAACCGAGACUCCGAAAGUAAUGGUGAGUGAAAUCGGAUAAGCCAAUAUAGCUAAAAAAUUUACAAACUAUUUCAUUAAUCUAUUAUUAAAAUUAAAAAUUUUAUUUCUUGUUUAUAGUAGAUUCUAAUAAGGAAUUUACAAUAGCUAAAAUUAAAAAAUUUUAUUAAAUUAAGAUUAAACAACUUGACAAAAUUGGUAUAUAAAACAGUUCCAGUAGUAAAUAAAUUUUAGUUAUUAAAUAAGUACGAUGAGAGUAAACUUGUCGGAAUAAAGGGGAACCAUCCUCUAAGGCUAAGUAUUAUAAAUUUAGCGAUAGUGCAACAGUACUGUAAAGGAAAGUUAAGGUAAUUAAGUGUUUUAAUACCACCAAAUAGGAAAGCUAAGAAACUUUUCUAUUUUCUAAUAGUAGCUCUAUAAGCAGUCGGAAUUUUUUUAAUGACGGCGUACCUUUUGCAUAAUGGGUCAGCAAGUUAAUAAAAGUAGCAAGGUUUAAAGCCUUAGCGAAAGCGACUGGAUUAUUUAUUUGAAUACUUAAAAUUUAGACAUAACAUUUGUAAGUCAAAUUUUAAAUUUAGUAUCUUUUUUAUAAAUAGUAUUGGGUAUAGUUACUUUUAUUAGACCCGAAGCCAGGUGAUCUUUCUAUGGCCAGAUUAUAAAUUAGGAUCGAACGGUUGAAUGUUGCAUAAUUCUCCGAAGAGCUGUGGAAAGUUGUGAAAUGCAAAUCUAACCUGGUGAUAGCUGGUUUUCUACGAAACAUAUUUAAGUAUGACAUUUUUCUAGAUUUAUGCUGGUACAGUACGGCAGUUACAAAACUAAUAAAUUAAUUUUUAUUAGUUAAGUUUGAGGGGACUUAGAAAAUCUUACCAAUGUAAGUGAAACUCGGAAUAACAUAAAUUGAUGAUAAAUUUUCAGACUGCUCAUGCGAAGUUGGGUAGUCAAGACGAAAACAGUCGAGAGCAUGAAUUUAAGGUCCCAAAUGAUUAUUAAGUGAAAUUAAGGUUGUAACAUAUUGAAUGCAGCUGAAAAGUGAGCCUGGUAGUCGCUACUUUUAAUGAACGUAUAGUAACAACGCAUCAGCCUAAACCUAACCAUUUAUAAAAAUAUAAUGGAUAGGCAAGAUUGUAGCACCUAAAAUUUAACGGGUCUAAGUAAUCAACCGAUAUCAUGCUACUUUAUUAUAAAACAUAAUAAAUUUAUUUUUCUUUUUUAUAAUAAGGUUAGGUAGUAGAACAUUCAGAACAAGAGAUAGACAGUGUUUCAUUGUUUAGAUGUAACUGAAGAGAUAAUGCUGACAUGAGUAACGAAAAAAGAAGUUUAAAAACUUCUCGCCGAAUGCGUAAGGUUUUUUCAGAUAUGUUGAACUACUGAUAUAAUAAUGCGGCCUCUAAGGAGAAAAAACCAAUGUUUUAUCUGAUGAGUAUUAAAUAGAAAGUUCAUAAAAUUUAAAAUAAUAUUAAAAAUAUUAAAUUAAAUUGAACCAAGAAAAUAAUAAUUAAUCUACCGUACCAAAACUAACACUAGUGCGCUAGUUGAGAAUACUAAGGCGUUGAGCGAAGACUUGUUAAGGAACUCGGCAAGAACCCUUCAUAAGUUAGGCGAAAAGAAGGACCACUUUGACUUAGCUUCACUAUAAGCUAAUAUCUUCGGUGGUGACACAAAAUCGGGGGCCCCGACUGUUUACUAAAAACAUAAGAAUCUGCAAUGAUUAAUGUCAUAGUAUAGGUUCUGAAAUUUGCCCAAUGCCAUUAAUAUAAGAAAGGUAAUGAAAGUUACUAAUCGAACAUCUGGUUAAUAGCGGUCUUAACUAUGAGGAUCCAAAGGUAGCAAAAUCAGUUGGCCAUUAAAUGUGGUCUGGUAUCAAUAAUGUAACGAUGGUCCCACUGUCUCUACAAGUCGCUCAGUGAAAUUGAAUUGUGAGUGCAGAUGCUCACUACCUCCGGGGGGACGGGAAGACCCUAUGCAGCUUUACUGUAUUUAGUUAUCACAUUAAUCUACAACAGGGCUGAUUAAUAGUAAUUAGGGAUGUCGAUAGACAAAAGAUGGAAUACCUUCUAAUUAGAACUGGGUUAAUGUUAACCUUUACCUAACAGUAAAGAGAUAAUUGACUAAUUGACAGUUUGACUGGGGCGGUCGUCUUUAAUAGAGUAGCAAAGUACAUCCGAAUAUAUUAAAAUUUUUAAUUAACACCUCGAAAAUUUUAUUAAAUUUUCGUUUAAAAAUAAAGUAUAAAUUAAGUUAUUUACACUUUCUUAAUUUAGCUGAACUUUAAAAUUUAAUCAAUUUAUUUUGUAUAUGUUUUUAAUUUAUUAAAAAUACAUAGUAAGGUAGAGCUAGAAAUUGAAUGGGAAUCAAUCUGCCAGUGAAUAGGCAGUGGAAAGAGCAGAAUGGCGGAAAGCAUGCCUAACUGAAAGACCCAUAAGUCGCACAGAUACGUAAGUAGGGCAUAGUGACCCCUCGCUAUAAUAUGGAAUAGACGGGGAUCAAUAGAUAAAAGUUACGCUAGGGAUAACAGGCUGAUAGUUCGCGAGAGUACACAUUGUCCGGACUGUUUGGCACCUCGAUGUCGACUCAACCUAUCCUCCGGGAGUACAAGCUCGGAAGGGUUGGGCUGUUCGCCCAUUAAAAGGUUACGUGAGUUGGGUUUAAUACGACGUGAGUCAGUAUGGUCCCUAUCUUCCGGAGGAACAAAUAGUAAAAAGGGGUAGACCUUCCAGUACGAAAGGACCAAUAGGCUGUGUUUCAAUCGUGUACCAAUUGUUGGAAAAUUAAUCUCUGGCAUAGUUGGGUAGCCACAAACAUGAUGGUUAAGAGCUGAAUGUAUAUAAAGCAGGAAACCACCCUCUAGAUACUAUCACUUAAGUAAUUAAUAUUUAAUUAUUUAAUAAGAUAAGAAAUAGAAGAUUUCUUAAUAGGAUACAAGUGUAUUUGUCUUGAGACAAUAAAGCUUAGUAUUAAC
rnacentral:rRNA from 1 species